GCCCUCUGAGGCAGUCGGGGCCUCACGGUAGCUGUCCUGUAUGGUAUCUGGCGGGGGAGGUGGUAGGGCAGGGAAGUGACAGCCCUCCCGUUCAGUAGGGACAGAGGCCCAGCCAGGUUCAGGAGGCCCUUCCCAGAUGGAGCCAGAGGGGAGGACUGGGCGUGGGAACAGGGGAGAGGUGACCUCAGAGGGGAAGUGGGGAGGAAGGGAGCUGCUGGAUGGAGCUCCAGGGGUGAGCGAUGCCCCUGUCCUGCAAUGGAUCGUGGUGUUCUGGCUGCCAGCCAGGUGUUCCAGGGACAGAGACUUUGUGCCCUAGAUUUGGGAAAGGCCUUUUGACCCAGGGCCUCAUUGGAAGUUCUCCCUUGGCAGUUCCAGAUGCUUGUGGACUGCCAGGAUUCCUUCUCCCCUGGCAGGGUUUGGAGGGAUCCCUGGGUGUGUCAGAGACAGACAGGAUGGGGUGGGGGCCCCGUGGAUGCGUGACUAUAAGGGGGAGCUGGUGGAACAGAUGUGAUUCUCUGAAAGGGGGUCCCAGGAGGGAGAUGGGCUGGGCAUUCUUCUGCCCACUCAGAUGGGCUGAGCAGAGGUUGGGCAGACCCCCCCACACCACCCAGGGGUCUGUGGACAAGUCUGUGCCUAGAAUGGUGUCUCUGCUUCCUUUUCCUGCGUUGUCACCAGCCCUGCCUCCUGGGCCUUCUCCCCUGCUUUGGUCUUUUCCAGCUUCAGAAUCUGGGGGAGUCAAGGGGGCCAAUGUGUUUUCUAAGGGCUUCCUGCUGCCUCUACAUCUCCCCACCCUUGGGGUCCUGGGAGAGGCUGGGGGGCGGGCAGCAUCCUGGGGCCACUCCUCACCCGGGUCCAGGCCCCGGCAUCCUGAGACUGGAGUGCCCUGGGCAGUGGUAACACAGAAAGUGUGUGCGCGUAUUUUGCUUGUCUCUUUAGGGGACUUAGGAGUUGGGUUGGAGGUGGUGGGCAAUGGGAUGUCAAGUUCACUAUCACCCAGUGGCGAAAGGAAUUGGGAAGCAAGGCUUGUAGGGUCCCCCGACCGGGGGAAUCUCAGUGUCAGUGGCAAUGGGGGUCAACCACACAGCGAUGCUCCUCUGUCCUCAGAUGGCCGAAAUGUUGGAGGGCCUCUGUUUACUUCCCACACCUGGGCGCUUCCCAGCGGCAAGGUUAAUUGUAGAGAGACAGCCCACUUUUGUUUCUAAUCAGUGUUCAGCAGCUGGAGACUCUUCUGUGUGCCCACGUGUGGUCCGUGUCUGUGUGAGAGAGAGCACGUGUGUGCGGGCAUGCCGUUUCCCCACCUCUCUCCUUUCUGACAUGCCAUUCAAAACAAAUGUAAGGAAUUCCUUACCCCGACUCCUGCCCCUGCCUCCCAGACCCUCUGCAGGAAAAACCCAGCAUCCUCCCGUUCCCCUGGCUGUGUAUUUAUAUAGAUGGAAAUAUACUUUCUAUUUUGUAUCUUUGUGCCUGUAACCUCUGCCACCUUGUAUAAACCCUGAUGUACGCGACUUAUCCUGGAUAUGAAUGUAUUGUACACUGAAGCUGUUCCACUCCUGUACAAUGCUCUGUUUCUUUGCGAUCCAUUGUAUGGCUUUAUAAAUGAUAAAGUGAAAGAAAAAUCCGUGUGUCAUUAACUAGCUCUGUUGUUGGGAAAGGGGAUCUGUUGCAUCUCCAGUGGGCAAAAGAGUGUCCCACCCAGGCUCCGGAACUGUGGUGGGCUUCGGGGAUGCUGCUGGGGAUGACUCACCCCAAGCUCUCCCAGAACUUCCCCACCAGCCAGGUCUUGGGUCUGAUUACAAUGAGUUUUUCAGACUCUUAGCUAGAAGAGAAACUCAACUCAAACUAAUUUAGAGGAAAAAAGGCAUUUAAUGGCACACAUGGCCAAGAAGUCCAAGCACAGCUGAAUCCAGGUGCUCAAAUGGUAGAGGCAAGGAUUUGUUUCCAAAUUUGGAUUAAUUUUCAGGCAACCUCUCUCCCAGGGGUGGUACCAUCAGAUGCUCUAGAAUAUGGCCCCUUGAGGCCCCAGGCUUUUAUCCUACCAGUGAAAAGAGAGCUCUUUUCUCCCAGUGUUUUCAACGACAACUUGGGACAAAUGCUCACUGGCUCUGAUAGACCCUGAUUGGGUCACGUAACUAGUUCUGAACCAACCUCUCCGGCUGGGUCUGGGUCACGUGACUGUCUUUGGAGCCUUCUGAACCACUGGGGCUGAGAACGGGGCAGUCCUGGUCCCUGAAGGGGCGAGGUUUAUCAGAGGAUGGGGGAGCAGAGGCUGCUAGGAACACCUCUGGCUGCCGAUUAGAUGGCAGGUGUGUAUCUCACCUGGACACCCAGCCUCGUGAUCCUGGGUAAAUUCUCUGCAAUUCAGAAGGUUUGCAGUGAGGCAUGCUAGCACAGUGCAGCGUUCCUUGGGAGAUCUCAGAGACUCAUACAGAAUAUCAACUGCAGGUGCCUGUUGAGUUGAUUUGAGCUUGGAUGAGCUGAUUUGGGCGAGUGUGUUCUGAGACCCCCAUGUGGCCAGCGUAGUGAGGACCAUGACACACGGCAGCCUUCUCAAACUCUUCGGUCUAAGGACUCCUUUGCAUUUUGAAAAGUUACUGAGGAGGACUUCCCUGGUGGCCCACUGAUCAAGAAUCCACCUGCCAAUGCAGGAGACACAGGUUCGAUCCCUGGUCCAGGAAGAUUCCACAAGCUAUGGGAUAACUAAGCCCAUACGCCCCAACUACUGAGCCCAUGUGCCUUAGAGCCUGUGUUCUGCCACAAGAGAAGCCACUGCAAUGAGAAUCUCACACACUGCAGCUAGAGAGUAGCUCCCGCUUGCUGCAACCAGAGAAAGCCCGUGUGCAGCAGUGAAGAACCACUGCGGCCAUAAAUAAAUAAACAAUUUUUUUAAA
rnacentral:lncRNA from 1 species